GCCGGGAGAAGGGAAGAAAAAUCCUUGUUGCCAGAUGGAUCAAUUCUUAUCCUGAAGAUUUCAAAAGAACUCCUUGGUUGAAACCCAGUCAUUAACUGAAACAGAAACAGCUGUGAAGGAGCUUAAACCUGGCGUGGCAUGCAUAAACAGCCCCGAGUGUCUUCUGCACCUUUUCUACACCACCAGCACAGCCAGCAAAGCAAAAUGGAUCCUAACCACCUAUAAAUCCAAGAAAAGAUAAAGAGGCAAACCUCAUCAGCUUGGAGACCCAGACAGUUAGCAGCGCAUCAAUCCUGAGGAUUCUUGCACAAGGGCCAAGGACACAACAAUCCGG